ACCCUCUCUGUUUUAGUAUUUUUUUCCUCGAAAAGCACAGGAGAACUGCGCCCCAUUAUAUAUUAGGAGGAAGAAACAAAAAGGUCUGAAGAAGACCCAAAUACAAGACUCUCCUUAUGGUGGCCAAAACAACCGUACAGAUCAUCCAGGCCCCAAGAGUGAUGAGGGAGUUCAGGCCUUUCUUAACCAUUCCAGAUUUCCAGAUACAGCAGCGGAGGUCCUUUUCCACCAGUCCAAGAAAGAGAUAGUAGCCGGCUGUGGGGCUAAGUAAUGUAGGCCAAACUUCCUUAGAAGGUUAUACCAGAAGACUCUUGUGAAGACACCAAAAGGCUAAAUGAGUUGGUCUCUCCGAUUCAAAGCGCAUUUAUAAAGGGGAGGUUCAUCCAAGAUAAUUUCAUGUUAGUACAACAAACUGCAAGGCUGUUACACCAACAAAAACUGCCUCGCCUGCUCCUCAAACUUGAUAUCACUAAGGCUUUUGAUUCAGUUUCCUGGCCCUUCCUAAUUGAAGUCAUGCAACAGAUUGAUUUUGGUCAUAUCUGGAGGGAUAUUGUUUGUGGGUUAUUGGCUUCCUCCACUACACAAGUGUUGCUCAAUGGUUCCCCGGGGGAACAUAUAGCCCAUAGGAGAGGGCUUAUGCAGGGAGACCCUCUUUCCCCCAUGCUAUUCAUCCUAGUUAUGGAUGUUCUUGGCCUUUUAUUCUCUAAAGCGGAAGAAGCAGGUUUGCUACAACAGUUAUCUAGAAGAAUUAAGUUCCAUCGGAUUUCUAUAUAUGCAGAUGAUGUGGCUGUGUUUUUACAUCCUACUGCUGAAGAAACUUCUAUCACUUUAGACAUCCUGCAACUUUUUGGAGAUGCUUCUGGCCUCAUAAAUAAUGCAUAGAAAUCAAAUGUAUAUCCUAUCCAAUGCCCCGAGGGGACCUUGAUGGAAGUUCAGAGCUUGCUGCCUUGUGAGAUGGCAACCUUCCCCUGCAGGUAUUUGGGGCUCCCCCUAUCCUUGCAUAAGCUUUCUAGGCAGCAGUUCCAGCCCUUUGUUGAAAGAAUUGCAGAUCAACUCCCUAAUUGGAAAGCUGACUUGAUGUCCAGAGCAGGAAGGAGAAUUCAGGUGCAACAUGUUCUCACAGGCAUGACAGUUUAUUUAGCAAUGGCAAUUGACAUUCCCCAAUGGGCCUUAGAUGCCAUUGAUAAGAUAAGAAAAGGUUUUCUAUGGAGAGGCAGAAAGGAAGCAAAGGGAGGACAUUGUUUGGUAGCCUGGGGAAAGGUGUGUCGACCCUUUCAGCUGGGAGGCUUGGGAAUCUCUAGUCUCCCAGAGCUUUGUUGGGCUCUCCGCAUGAGAUGGUUGUGGCUGCAGAAAACAGAUUUGGGGCGGCCUUGGGCAAGCCUUCCCAUACAUGUCCCAAACAAAGCUAGGGCUUUUUUCUCUAUGGCCCUUAUUUCUAAGGUUGGGGAUGGUUCAAACACCUUGUUCUGGAAUGAUAGAUGGCUGCAUGGCACUCGAAUCUCUGAUAUUGCCCCCAGUCUGUACAAGUCAAUUCCAAGAAGAAUUGCUAACAGAAGGACGGUGAAGGAAGCACUUCUAAACAGGAGAUGGAUUUCAGAUAUUAGGGGGGCUCUUACAGUAAGAGUCUUGGUAGAAUAUCUAAAACUUUGGGAAUCCCUCUCAGAGAUUGAGUUACAACCAAAGAUAAGGGAUAGACAUGUUUUCAGCCUUGCUUCAGAUGGUAAAUACACAACAAAAGCAGCAUAUAAAGGCCUGUUCUUAGGAUCUGCUACCUUUGAUCACUACAAAAGAAUCUAGAGAUCUUGGGCCCCCUCAAAGUGCCGUUUUUUCAUUUGGUUGGUGGCACACAACAGAUGCUGGACUGCUGAUCGUCCCCACACAGGUGUCCUCUUUGUGACCAAGAAGAUGAAACCAUGAACCACCUCCUUAUUUCCUGCGUCUUCACAAGAAUUUUCUGGUAUAUGCUCUUAAGGAAAUUUGGGUUACAUGCCCUGGCCCCACAGCCUGGCCUCACAUCCUUCUUGGAGUGGUGGAAGGGGGCUGCAGAGGCAGUGCAGGGAAUGGUCAAGAAAGGGCUGGAUUCUCUCAUUAUUUUGGGAGCCUGGAAGAUAUGUAACCUCCGCAAUAGAUGUGUGUUUGAUGGAGAGAACCCCAGCCUUUCUCGAAUCCUGAAGCAGGCUGAUGAGGAGAGAAGCCUUUGGGAGCUAGCAGGAGCCAAGGGUCUCUCCUAUUUGGCUGCUCCAUUGUCGGUAGCCUGAAUUCCUCAUGGAUUUGUUUAUUUAUGCUUGUUUUUGGCCUCCGUAAGGAGUGUCUUUUUGUAUUAUGUUUUCCUCUUCUUAAUAUAAUUAAAGGCGCAGUUCUCCUGCGCUUUCGAGAAAAAAAAACCAACAGGUGGUUGAUAGAUUCAUGAUCCUGAAUCCUGAUCACAUAGGGGACAUCUGGUAGGAUGAUUCAAUCCUCUUUUUGGCAAUCUGUCUGCAGUCCAACACUUAUUCUGGGCCACUGGCUGCAUGAAGAAUCGACACUUUGGUGGAGCCCAUGAUCUCCAAACUCUUUUGUAAUGCCCAAAGGAGCUUGACCCUAAAAAGAUGCCUUUGUAAGCUGAACUUGCAGAAUAUUUGCCUUUCAGUUGCCAAGUAAAAAAUGUGCC